CCCACUUUCCAUACCUGAAGCCUCUCGAGGCUUGCUUCGCCUUCUCCCGCUCGGCGGCGCCCAUUCUUGGCCUCUCACGCGCUCUUCGGCCUCUUUUCUCCACGGGUCUCGCGGUUUUCCCGCUCUUCAGUCGGAGACACCAGAAGGGAGGGACAGAGAGACCCGCGUGAAAGGGUGGCUAGUAAUACGCGAUCUCUCUCUGGGCGGGAGAUCUCGUCCCUCCAGGCAGGAGACUUGGAACAACACCCACGACGGUGCUUCCCUUCCUCUGGUCUUUAGGGGAGAAUGGUGGGGGGCAAGGAAGAAAGAGGACAAAGACAGACUCUUCUGCCAGAACGCCUCUGGAGGGUGAGCACCACUGGCUCAGGAGGAGUUUUCCCACUCUCAGGAGUAGGACGUGGCGGAUCCACUCUACAUCCGAGACACUGAUGUCUGUGUAGAUUUCCUCAGCCAGGAUUUUGGACAAAGCCAACUGCGGUUUGCUGAGUCUGUAAGAACAGUGUAAGUGAUAUCCUUGGAUGCUCUUGUGAGGAGGAAGUCUUCAUCUUCCCUUUCAUGUAUGUAUGAUCCCACAUCGCUUAUAGCUCUUGCCCGGCUGUGCCAGAAGAAGAAUUGUUGAGACUUGUCCCAUUCCAGCUCCCGCACAGGACUGUUGUUUAAAAACCGGUAGGAAUCCGAACAGCUUAGCCACUGCUGCUUUUUGAGAGCUGGAAAUCAGAAGUCCAGA